AACGAACGCUGGCGGCAUGCCUAACACAUGCAAGUCGAACGAGACCUUCGGGUCUAGUGGCGCACGGGUGCGUAACGCGUGGGAACCUGCCCUUAUGUUCGGCAUAACUCCCCGAAAGGGGUGCUAAUACCGGAUAAUGUCUUCGGACCAAAGAUUUAUCGCCUUUGGAUGGGCCCGCGUUGGAUUAGCUAGUUGGUAGGGUAAAAGCCUACCAAGGCGACGAUCCAUAGCUGGUCUGAGAGGAUGAUCAGCCACACUGGGACUGAGACACGGCCCAGACUCCUACGGGAGGCAGCAGUGGGGAAUAUUGGACAAUGGGCGAAAGCCUGAUCCAGCAAUGCCGCGUGAGUGAUGAAGGCCUUAGGGUUGUAAAGCUCUUUUACCCGGGAUGAUAAUGACAGUACCGGGAGAAUAAGCUCCGGCUAACUCCGUG
rnacentral:rRNA from 1 species